CCUACGGGAGGCAGCAGUGAGGAAUAUUGGUCAAUGGGCGCGAGCCUGAACCAGCAAAGUAGCGUGAAGGAUGACUGCCCUAUGGGUUGUAAACUUCUUUUAUAUGGGAAUAAAAUGUUCCACGUGUGGGAUUUUGUAUGUACCAUAUGAAUAAGGAUCGGCUAACUCCGUGCCAGCAGCCGCGGUAAUACGGAGGAUCUGAGCGUUAUCCGGAUUUAUUGGGUUUAAAGGGAGCGUAGGUGGAUUGUUAAGUCAGUUGUGAAAGUUUGCGGCUCAACCGUAAAAUUGCAGUUGAAACUGGCAGUCUUGAGUACAGUAGAGGUGGGCGGAAUUCGUGGUGUAGCGGUGAAAUGCUUAGAUAUCACGAAGAACUCCGAUUGCGAAGGCAGCUCACUGGACUGCAACUGACACUGAGGCUCGAAAGUGUGGGUAUCAAACAGGAUUAGAUACCCGGGUAGUC
rnacentral:rRNA from 1 species